GCUCCCUUCCUCUUGCUGUCCCCCCACUCACCACCCAGGGACAGCAGGGGGCCAGAGGACAGCCUCCGGGGCUGCGGCUGGGAGGCCUGUCAACUCGGCAGCCACCUGGCCUGAUGGAAGGCACAGCUGUGCGUGGGGGGAGGGGGAAGGGAAGAAGAGCGUGUUCGGUUUCUAGGGACGGAACUACUGCCUGGGAUGCACUUAAUUUAGCCCAAGUCCGGGGAGGUGGGCAGAUUAAGGCACGUUGCGUGUAGUUCUUUCCCGGAGCUGGGGACCGCGGCCAGGAGCCAGGUUUGGUUUAAGUGUGUUACUGGCCAAAGGGGCCUGAAGCCAACCGCAGAGACGGGUGAGGUAAACACCCACUUGGGUCAGUCCUUCCUCCAGCAGCACAGGACAGCCUGACCUCGCCUUCCCCAGGGCCACGUUGAGCCAGAGGAGGCAGUAUGCCUGUCUCCCCUCGGCGUCACAGCCUGCAACUCCCUUCCGUAGGUAUGGUUGGUCUCAUUGGGUUCCGCAACCACCUGCCAGGGAGAUAAAGUUUCCAUUUUAAGGAUGGAGAGGGAAGCUGCUAGGGCAGAAUAGGCUUGCAGGGGCCGUAGGGGGCAGCUGGAACAAGGGCCCCAGCUCCAGCCCUUGCUCUUCCGUCCCCUGCCCAUUUGAUGGAAGGAGACCGACCCACUCAUCUCCUUCCCCAACUGUAGAAUGGGCCCACAGGGGAGGCAGAACAUCCCCUCCAAGCCUGCACUCAGGCGCCACGCUGAUGUCAAGAAGGCAGAGCGAGCCCAAACUGGGAAUCACAAGAUCUGGGUUUGAUCCCUGGUGCGGCUGCAGAUUGGGCAAGCCACUGCUGAUCCCUGGGACUGUUUCCCCACCUAAACAGGCCAAGCCCUGUCCAGUUGAUGGUGUUCAGGAGGGCUUUGGUGGGAGCUCAGGCACAUUAGGCUUCAUACAUCACAGUAUGUGAUGGAGCUUCAGAGGCUCCCACGGGGGCUCGUUCUCACCCUUUUCCUCCUUCCCACUUUCCUUCUCUUCCCAUCUCCUUGUCCCUCAACCCCGGGGCCACAGGAUCUGACUAAAGGCCAAAGCAAGUCAGACUCUCCAGGACUCACUGCCCAGCCGCUGCCCCGGCAAGCAGGGCCCAAAGAAUUAGGACCAGGCAGGUGGGAACAGAAUUGGUGGCUGGGACUACCUCAUCUACCUGAUGAAGGCCCAGUGGAACCAUUGGCUGCAUCACUAGGGGAGGGCACUGAGGACAAGGGAGGAGGCAACAGGCUUUGCCAAUUGCUCCUGGACUAUUGUGCCCGGUUCUCACAUCACGAUGUGUCCAGAGGAAAAGAGCAGCUGACCCAGGAAGCAACAGGCUACCUGACAGUCGGAGACCGUGGAAAGAAGAGCGCGUGGAAAGAAGAGUGGCAAGAAAUUACGGAGAUAUCCUUUUAAACUGGACAGAGGAAAGAUGUUCUCGGAAUCAGAGAUGCCCAAAUAUAGAAAGUGAGCUUCUCAUUACUGCACACAGAUGUUGAAUCAUCAUUAGCCUGGGAGGUGAUGGAGAGGAUUACUACAUUUGAGUAAAAAUAAGGAAAUUAAGUAGAAAUAAUGAAAGUCAUUUUACGUUUAUAGUACUUGACAUUCAUUAAGUUGUUUUGAAGGGGCCCCCGGGUGGCUCAGUCAAAAGAGCGUGCAAUGCUUGAUCUUGGGGGUGUGAGUUUGAGCCCCAUGUUGGGUGUGGAGCCUACUAAAAAAAAUAAUAAAAUUUUAAAAAUAAAACAUAAUAAGUUUAUUGGGGCGCCUGGCUGGCUCAGUCAGAAGAGCGUGAGAAUCUUGAUUUCCGAGUCAUGAGUUUGAGCCGCAUGUUGGGUGUAGAGAUUGCUUACAGUUAAAGAGAAAAAUCAAGUUUAAAAAAAAAAAAAGUUGUUUUGGUACAACUGAAUUAAAAAAUUUUUUUUAAAUGUUUUAUUUAUUUUUGAGAGCGAGAGCGAGAGAGAGAGAGAGAGCAAGCAUGAGUGGGGGAAGGGCAGAGAAAGAGGGAGACACACAGAAUCUGAAACAGACUCCAGGCUCUGAGCUGUCAGCACAGAGCCCGAUGCGGGGCUCAAACUUGGAAACGACGAGAUCAUGAUAUGAGCCAAAGUCAGACGCUCAACCAACUGAGCCACCCAGGUGCCCCGGUACAACUGAACUUUUAAAUAGUUUUGGGAGGUAGAUAAAAAUCAUUCUGAUUUCAGGUUCAAGAUAGCACAUUGAGGACACACAGCACUGACCAAAACAGAUAAAAAUGCCUGCCUGGUGGAGCUUACAAUCUAGAAAUUCCAUAGAUUUUAUAUUAUCCUUGUGAUACUAGAACUUAGGGAUAGGACAAAAUAAGACAAUGCAAGGAAGGGGGCACCUGGGUGGCUCAGUGGGUUAAGUAUCUGACUCUUGAUUUCAACUCGGGUCAUGAUCUUGUGGUUUGUGGGAUCGCGCCUCACGUCUGGCUCUGCGCGGACAGUGUGGCACCUGCCUGGGAUUCUUUCUCUCCCUCUCUCCAUCUCUGCUCCUCCCCCACUCAUGCUCUCUCCCUCUCUCUCUCAAAAUAAAUACAUAAACGCUAAA